CAAAGACGUCCAGCAGGAAGGCUGAGAGGCUGCAGAUGAUGCCCAAAAAGCAGAAGGCGGCGAUGACCCGAAGCAGCAGAACGGUCUGAGGGUUCAUGCAGUAAUCCCGCAGCAGCUCUGCCCGCACGGCGCCCAACACGUCGGCCACGCCCAGCUCCUGCCGCCCGCACGUCCCACCGUGGAUGCGGAGCCAGGCCGGCUCGGCCAGCGCCGUGCACAGCGCCGUGAUGGACAGCGCUCCGGGCAGCGCCGAGGCCAGGCUGCGCUCCGGUUGUUUGGGCAGCCCCCCGCCGCCGCCCGCAGCCCCGCGCCGCCGCCGCCCGCCGGGCAGCCCGGGCCCGCCCGGGGUAUACAUGGCUCCGCGCCCC
rnacentral:lncRNA from 1 species